rnacentral:rRNA from 1 species
CGGACGGGUGAGUAAUGUCUGGGAAACUGCCUGAUGGAGGGGGAUAACUACUGGAAACGGUAGCUAAUACCGCAUAACGUCGCAAGACCAAAGAGGGGGGACCUUCGGGCCUCUUGCCAUCAGAUGUGCCCAGAUGGGAUUAGCUAGUAGGUGGGGUAACGGCUCACCUAGGCGACAAUCCCUAGCUGGUCUGAGAGGAUGACCAGCCACACUGGAACUGAGACACGGUCCAGACUCCUACGGGAGGCAGCAUG